GCCUGAGUAUCUGCUAUUCCCAUCGAUAGCACCCGGAGUGGAGAUCUUGUUCCCCUCGCUCCCGUCCUCCUGGACCUGGGCCGCCAGCUGCUUACACAACGUGGCCUGCCGGCCCACCGCUCACCUGCCUGCCUCCCCACGCCUCGACCGCUUCCGGGUUUUCCGCUCCACCUGUCCCCUCCAUCUGAAACCAAUGCCCCCGGCCCCUACCUAGUCCUGUUUCUACCUCCCCGCUGUCCCCGCUGUUCAGCCGUCUCCUAGAGGUGUCUAGGUCGCCCUCAUUAU